rnacentral:rRNA from 1 species
UGCAGUCGAGCGGACAGAAGGGAGCUUGCUCCCGGAUGUUAGCGGCGGACGGGUGAGUAACACGUGGGUAACCUGCCUGUAAGACUGGGAUAACUCCGGGAAACCGGAGCUAAUACCGGAUAGUUCCUUGAACCGCAUGGUUCAAGGAUGAAAGACGGUUUCGGCUGUCACUUACAGAUGGACCCGCGGCGCAUUAGCUAGUUGGUGAGGUAACGGCUCACCAAGGCGACGAUGCGUAGCCGACCUGAGAGGGUGAUCGGCCACACUGGGACUGAGACACGGCCCAGACUCCUACGGGAGGCAGCAGUAGGGAAUCUUCCGCAAUGGACGAAAGUCUGACGGAGCAACGCCGCGUGAGUGAUGAAGGUUUUCGGAUCGUAAAGCUCUGUUGUUAGGGAAAAACAAGUGCAAGAGUAACUGCUUGCACCUUGACGGUACCUAACCAGAAAGCCACGGCUAACUACGUGCCAGCAGCCGCGGUAAUACGUAGGUGGCAAGCGUUGUCCGGAAUUAUUGGGCGUAAAGGGCUCGCAGGCGGUUUCUUAAGUCUGAUGUGAA